AGAGAACCUGGGCAUGUGCCCUCUGUGGAGAAAGUGACUUCAGAAACCGCUGAGGCUCUAUUAGCCUGGGAUUCUAAACUCGGGGGGACAUGAAAAACUCAAGAGACGAGUCAUCAGGCUCUAUAUUCAUAAGACUCUUCUCUGUGUGUGUGUGUGUCUCUUUUCAAACAAAUAGCACUGCGCAGCAUCCUUAGAGACUACAGCCAAAUGUCCUUCAUGUAUUUUCUCUACAUUUCAAGAAUCUCGGGACCAUGCUUCCUGUCUAAUGUGUGACCUUGAGAGUUAAAAUCAAGGGGAAAAGGUCACCGAAUUGGGGGCAAGUUUGAGUUCCCGUCACCAGCCACAAUCUCUAUAUCAAAUGGAGGACAACACACCGCCUGGGCCUCAGCCAGGUUUGCCUGAAGCAGGGCCAGGCAGCCUCAAGGCCUCCAUGGGAUGGUGUGAAGUGUCUACAGGCAUCCGAGUGAACCCACAGGGAGAGUUCGGCUGGCACACAAGGAGACGGGCCAAGGCGCGGCGGGCGAGGGCGGCACAAGCAUGGUGCUGCGACACCACUGCUGGGAGCAGGGCUGAAAGGUGUCUUUUG
rnacentral:lncRNA from 1 species